rnacentral:misc_RNA from 1 species
GAUGAAGAACGUAGCGAAAUGCGAUAAGUAAUGCGAAUUGCAGAAUUCAGUGAAUCAUCGAAUCUUUGAACGCACAUUGCGCCCGCCAGUACUCUGGCGGGCAUGCCUGUCUGAGCGUCAUUUCAACCCUCGCCCCCGGCUUCUGUCGGGGACGGUGUUGGGGAUCGGCCUCCCGUCUUCCGGGUGGCCGGCCCCUAAAUUGAGUGGCGACCACGCCGUAACCUCCUCUGCGUAGUAGUUAAACACUCGCGGGCGGAGAGCGGUGCGGCCUGCCGUAAAACCCCCAACUCUUCUAAGGUUGACCUCAGAUCAGGUAGGAAUACCCGCUGAACUUAAGCAUAUCAUAAGCGGAGGA